AGUGAACGCUGGCGGUAGGCCUAACACAUGCAAGUCGAACGGCAGCACAGUAAGAGCUUGCUCUUACGGGUGGCGAGUGGCGGACGGGUGAGGAAUACAUCGGAAUCUACUUUUUCGUGGGGGAUAACGUAGGGAAACUUACGCUAAUACCGCAUACGACCUACGGGUGAAAGCAGGGGAUCUUCGGACCUUGCGCGAUUGAAUGAGCCGAUGUCGGAUUAGCUAGUUGGCGGGGUAAAGGCCCACCAAGGCGACGAUCCGUAGCUGGUCUGAGAGGAUGAGCGGCAACACUGGAACUGGAAAGCGGUCCAGACCCCUAGGGGGGGCAGAAGGGGGGAAUAUUGAAGAAGGGGCGCAGGCUGGACCCACCAAUACCGGGGGGGGAAAAAAGGCCUUGGGGUUGAAAGCCCUUUUUGUGGGAAAAAAAAAGCAGCAGGUUAAUCCCCCCGUGUUCUGACGGUCCCAAAAAAAAAAGCCCGGGCUAACUUCGUC
rnacentral:rRNA from 1 species